rnacentral:rRNA from 1 species
UACGGAGGGUGCAAGCGUUGUUCGGAGUCACUGGGCGUAAAGCGCGUGUAGGCGGUUCGUUAAGUCAGGUGUGAAAUCCCCCGGCUCAACCGGGGAAUUGCGCCUGAAACUGGCGGGCUGGAGUGCCGGAGAGGGAAGGGGAAUUCCCGGUGUAGAGGUGAAAUUCGUAGAUAUCGGGAGGAACACCGGUGGCGAAGGCGCCUUCCUGGACGGUAACUGACGCUGAGACGCGAAAGCGUGGGGAG